UCAAAUUCUAGUUGAUUCACAUUUCUAGCUAAGUUUAUUUCUAAAUGAAAUAAACGAAGCGGGUAGCGUGCUAUCUAUCUCUCAAAAUUUUUUUUUUAAUGUCAUAUCAUCACAUGACGUUUGCAAGUUUAAUGGUGUAGAAAUAUUCAAAUCACAUAAAAUUUUGAUAGAAAAUGCUUUACUACAUAAAAUAAGAUCAAUAUCUUUGAUCUAAAAUUUUAAUAUCAUAUCAUCAUAUUUUGUAAUAUUUUUAUUUUCAGUCGUUGAUUUUGAGCCUUUCGAUCACUAGGCAAAUGAUAUCAAACAAUUGUGAAAUUUAUUUUCUAGGUACUUCAAAUACUCUAGAUUAAGUUUAACAGAGCCGAUCGUCGAUUCAAAAGUCCCAACAUCGAAAAUGACUUGGAAGCACGAAGGUCUCCGUACUUCCAAAAGCAUACCAACCGCACACACUCUCUCUCUCUCUCGCUCUCUCUACACACACACACACACACACACACACACACACACACAUAUAGUUCAGCUAUAAUGUUAUCGAUAGC
rnacentral:lncRNA from 1 species